AUACGUAGGGGGCGAGCGUUGUCCGGAAUGAUUGGGCGUAAAGGGCGCGUAGGCGGCCUGUUAAGUCUGGAGUGAAAGUCCUGUUUUCAAGGUGGGAAUUGCUUUGGAGACUGGUUGGCUUGAGUGCGGAAGAGGUAAGUGGAAUUCCCAGUGUAGCGGUGAAAUGCGUAGAGAUUGGGAGGAACACCAGUGGCGAAGGCGACUUACUGGGCCGUAACUGACGCUGAGGCGCGAAAGCGUGGGGAGCGAACAGGAUUAGAUACCCUGGUAGUCCACGCUGUAAACGAUGAAUGCUAGGUGUAGGGGGUAUCGACCCCUCCUGUGCCGGAGUAAACGCAAUAAGCAUUCCGCCUGGGGAGUACGGCCGCAAGGUUGAAACUCAAAGGAAUUGACGGGG
rnacentral:rRNA from 1 species